rnacentral:rRNA from 1 species
UACGUAGGUGGCAAGCGUUGUCCGGAUUUACUGGGCGUAAAGGGCGUGCAGGCGGCUUGUUAAGUGCAGGGUGAAAGCUCCCGGCUCAACUGGGCGGGGUUAUGCCAGACUGGCAGGCUAGAGGGUGGGAGAGGGAUGUGGAAUUCCGGGUGUAGUGGUGAAAUGCGUAGAGAUCCGGAGGAACCCCAGAGGCGAAGGCGGCAUCCUGGCCCACGACUGACACUCAGACACGACAGCAUGGGGAGCGAACGGG